GCCGGGGUAGCCAAGUGGCAAAGGCGCGGGCCUCCUGAGCCUGUGGAUAGAAAUCCUUUAGGGGUUCGAUUCCCCUCUCCGGCA
rnacentral:tRNA from 1 species